rnacentral:rRNA from 1 species
GACGAACGCUGGCGGCGUGCUUAACACAUGCAAGUCGAACGGAGCACCCUUGACUGAGGUUUCGGCCAAAUGAUAGGAAUGCUUAGUGGCGGACUGGUGAGUAACGCGUGAGGAACCUACCUUCCAGAGGGGGACAACAGUUGGAAACGACUGCUAAUACCGCAUGACGCAUGACCGGGGCAUCCCGGGCAUGUCAAAGAUUUUAUCGCUGGAAGAUGGCCUCGCGUCUGAUUAGCUAGAUGGUGGGGUAACGGCCCACCAUGGCGACGAUCAGUAGCCGGACUGAGAGGUUGACCGGCCACAUUGGGACUGAGAUACGGCCCAGACUCCUACGGGAGGCAGCAGUGGGGAAUAUUGGGCAAUGGACGCAAGUCUGACCCAGCAACGCCGCGUGAAGGAAGAAGGCUUUCGGGUUGUAAACUUCUUUUGUCAGGGAAGAGUAGAAGACGGUACCUGACGAAUAAG